rnacentral:lncRNA from 1 species
GGAGCUAGGUUAAGAUGAAUUUAAGGUUAAAUUGAAUGGAUGAAGAUGAUUAUAGAUGAAGUUCAACUAGAAUAGAUGUAAAAUCUUCCUAUAAGUUAAAGGUGUUGGAAGAAAGAGGCAUCUCAUUCUCCACUUCUCUUGUAUAUAACCAUUCUAAUUUUUACUUACUUGUGUCCUACUUAUUGUAUUUCUUCCAUAGGUUGUAGGCCUAUACAUACAUUUUUGUGCCAUUCAAGUAAGUCGAUGUUAUUCUUUAGUGGUUGUACUUAUGUAGAAUAGAUCUUAUGGUGUUUACUGAUGUUAGGAUUUAUAAGAUCUAUACUUGUAUUUUGGCAUGAGAAGGUGCUGAUUUUGACCUUAUAGAUCUCUAAUAUUGUUUGAUGGAUUCUUAACUCCUUGGAUUGUGAAUUUAAGACCUUAUAGAAAGACCUU